rnacentral:rRNA from 1 species
UACGUAGGUGGCGAGCGUUUGUCCGGAUUUACUGGGCGUAAAGAGCGCGCAGGCGGUCGAUUUAGUCGUGUGUGAAAGCCCCCGGCUCAACUGGGGAGGGUCACGCGAUACUGAUCGACUCGAAGGCAGGAGAGGGUAGUGGAAUUCCCGGUGUAGUGGUGAAAUGCGUAGAUAUCGGGAGGAACACCAGUGGCGAAGGCGACUACCUGGCCUGUUCUUGACGCUGAGGCGCGAAGCUAGGGGAGCAAACGGG